UACGGGGGGGGCAAGCGUUGUUCGGAAUUACUGGGCGUAAAGGGCGCGUAGGCGGCCCGCUAAGUCGAACGUGAAAUCCCCAGGCUCAACCUGGGAACUGCGUCCGAUACUGGCAGGCUUGAAUCCGGGAGAGGGAUGUGGAAUUCCAGGUGUAGCGGUGAAAUGCGUAGAUAUCUGGAGGAACACCGGUGGCGAAGGCGGCAUCCUGGACCGGUAUUGACGCUGAGGAGCGAAAGCGUGGGGAGCGAACAGG
rnacentral:rRNA from 1 species